AGCUUUGCGCAGUGGCGGCGUCGUAGCCAAUGAGGUUUAUCCGAGGCGCGAUUAUUGCUAGUUGAAAACUUUUCCCAAUACCGUGCCGCAAUGACUUUCGAUAUACUUGGCAUGGCAAUUUUUGAUGGUCUCUACUGGGA